GAUGAACGCUGACAGAAUGCUUAACACAUGCAAGUCCACUUGAAUUUGGGUUUUUAACUUAGGUUUGGGUGGCGGACGGGUGAGUAACGCGUAAAGAACUUGCCUCACAGCUAGGGACAACAUUUGGAAACGAAUGCUAAUACCUAAUAUUAUGAUAAUAGGGCAUCCUAUAAUUAUGAAAGCUAUAAGCGCUGUGAGAGAGCUUUGCGUCCCAUUAGCUAGUUGGAGAGGUAACGGCUCACCAAGGCGAUGAUGGGUAGCCGGCCUGAGAGGGUGAUCGGCCACAAGGGGACUGAGACACGGCCCUUACUCCUACGGGAGGCAGCAGUGGGGAAUAUUGGACAAUGGACCGAGAGUCUGAUCCAGCAAUUCUGUGUGCACGAUGAAGUUUUUCGGAAUGUAAAGUGCUUUCAGUUGGGAAGAAACAAAUGACGGUACCAACAGAAGAAGUGACGGCUAAAUACG
rnacentral:rRNA from 1 species